AAGAAGCUUGCUUCUUUGCUGACGAGUGGCGGACGGGUGAGUAAUGUCUGGGAAACUGCCCGAUGGAGGGGGAUAACUACUGGAAACGGUAGCUAAUACCGCAUAACGUCUUCGGACCAAAGAGGGGGACCUUCGGGCCUCUUGCCAUCGGAUGUGCCCAGAUGGGAUUAGCUAGUAGGUGGGGUAACGGCUCACCUAGGCGACGAUCCCUAGCUGGUCUGAGAGGAUGACCAGCCACACUGGAACUGAGACACGGUCCACACUCCUACGGGAGGCACCACUGGGGAAUAUUGCACAAUGGGCGCAAGCCUGAUGCAACCAUGCCUCGUGUAUGAAGAAGGCCU
rnacentral:rRNA from 1 species